ACGCAGGUCCAUACCACGAUGAAAACACCCGAUCUCGUCCGAUCUCGGAAGUUAAGCAUCGUCGGGCCGGGAUAGUACUUGGAUAUAGAUAUAGCGACCGUAGUACAGUGGUAGAGCAUC
rnacentral:rRNA from 1 species